AUACUUACCUGGCGUAGAAGGAUACCGUGAUCAUGCAGGCGGUUCCCCCAGGACGAGGCUGCUCCAUUGCACUGCGGAGUGGUUGACCCUUGCAAUUAUUUUUAUUUUUAUCAAUUAAAAAAAUCAUAAUAAAAAAUGUAUGCCCGAAUACUUAUUUUCUUUAU
rnacentral:snRNA from 1 species